UACGUAGGGGGCAAGCGUUGUCCGGAAUUAUUGGGCGUAAAGAGCGUGUAGGCGGUCCGGUAAGUCAGCUGUGAAAGUCAAGGGCUCAACCCUUGAAUGCCGGUUGAUACUGUCGGGCUAGAGUCCGGAAGAGGCGAGUGGAAUUCCCGGUGUAGCGGUGAAAUGCGCAGAUAUCGGGAGGAACACCAAUGGCGAAGGCAGCUCGCUGGGACGGUACUGACGCUGAGACGCGAAAGCGUGGGGAGCAAACGGGG
rnacentral:rRNA from 1 species